AAUAUGGUGCCUGAUAAAAGGACAGCACUGAUACAGCUGAUCAUGUAAUAAUUAUAAUUACCCAUAUUA
rnacentral:tRNA from 1 species